AGUGAACGCUGGCGGCGUGCCUAAUACAUGCAAGUCGAACGGAAUUUAAAAGGGCUUGCUCUUUUAAAUUUAGUGGCGCACGGGUGAGUAAUAUAUAGCUAAUCUGCCCCUUGCUGGAGGACAACAGUUAGAAAUGACUGCUAAUACUCCAUACUCCUUUUUACCAUAAGAUAAAUCGGGAAAGAAUUUCGGCAAGGGAUGAGACUAUAUCGUAUCAGCUAGUCGGUGGGGUAACGGCCUACCGAGGCUAUGACGCGUAACUGGUCUGAGAGGAUGAUCAGUCACAUUGGAACUGAGACACGGUCCAAACUCCUACGGGAGGCAGCAGUAGGGAAUAUUGCGCAAUGGGGGAAACCCUGACGCAGCAACGCCGCGUGGAGGAUGACACUUUUCGGAGCGUAAACUCCUUUUGUUAGGGAAGAAUAAGACGGUA
rnacentral:rRNA from 1 species